GGAAGGAGAAGAUUUCCAGAAUAAAGAAGAAAUGGAUAUGCUGAAAAUGAUUUUUGAGGAAGAAUGAAAGCGAUGGAAGAAGAAUAGAAUAAGCUAUAUAUGAUGCAGAAGAAGUUGUCAUAAUUUUCUGCAUAUUGUUUAUUUUAUUGAGAUUUGUGUCCCCAUGUUUUACGUAGCAAGCCAUGCAUGGUUGUAUGCAGAGUGUUUCAUGAUCUAUAUAAUAAAUAAGUGAAUGUUCAUGUUCUUGUUU
rnacentral:lncRNA from 1 species